UGGGGAAUAUUGCACAAUGGGCGAAAGCCUGAUGCAGCAACGCCGCGUGAGUGAUGAAGGCCUUCGGGUUGUAAAGCCCUGUCUUUUGGGACGAUAAUGACGGUACCAAAGGAGGAAGCCACGGCUAACUACGUGCCAGCAGCCGCGGUAAUACGUAGGUGGCAAGCGUUGUCCGGAUUUACUGGGCGUAAAGGAUGCGUAGGCGGAUUUUUAAGUGAGAUGUGAAAUACCCGGGCUUAACUUGGGUGCUGCAUUUCAAACUGGGAAUCUAGAGUGCGGGAGAGGAGAAUGGAAUUCCUAGUGUAGCGGUGAAAUGCGUAGAGAUUAGGAAGAACACCAGUGGCGAAGGCGAUUCUCUGGACCGUAACUGACGCUGAGGCAUGAAAGCGUGGGUAGCAAACAGGAUUAGAUACCCUGGUAGUCCACGCCGUAAACGAUGAGUACUAGGUGUAGGAGGUAUCGACCCCUUCUGUGCCGCAGUUAACACAAUAAGUACUCCGCCUGGGAAGUACGAUCGCAAGAUUAAAACUCAAAUGAAUUGACGGGGUC
rnacentral:rRNA from 1 species